UGGGGAAUAUUGCGCAAUGGGCGAAAGCCUGACGCAGCGACGCCGCGUGAGGGAUGAAGGCCUUCGGGUUGUAAACCUCUUUCAGCAGGGACGAAGCGCAAGUGACGGUACCUGCAGAAGAAGCACCGGCCAACUACGUGCCAGCAGCCGCGGUAAUACGUAGGGUGCAAGCGUUGUUCCAGGAAUUAUUGGGCUAAAUAAGAGCUCGUAGGCGGUCUGUCGCGUCGGCUGUGAAAACUCGGGGCUCAACUCCGAGCCUGCAGUCGAUACGGGCAGACUAGAGUGCGGUAGGGGAGACUGGAAUUCCUGGUGUAGCGGUGAAAUGCGCAGAUAUCAGGAGGAACACCGGUGGCGAAGGCGGGUCUCUGGGCCGUAACUGACGCUGAGGAGCGAAAGCGUGGGGAGCAAACA
rnacentral:rRNA from 1 species